AGUUUCUUUCCAUAUUGUUUCUCUUCUCUAGUUUUAUGUAUUAGAAUCUACUUUGUAUGGAUAAUAAUAUUCCCAUGUUUUUGCCUCCCAAGCAUUUUGGGUUGUGUCUCCUAUGGCAGGGGGGGAUUUAGUAGUCUGUACAUUGUAACAUAAUUGGCAUUCUAUGAUAGCUUGUACAUGAUAUGUCCUGCAAAAAGAUCCAAUAUUUUAUUCACAUGUAGUUUUGAAGAUGAUAAUUAGCACCAUUAUAGUCUUGGUGUUUCUCUGAUCACCAUGUGAAUGAAGUGUUAUAUAAUGCAAAGAUAAAACAAAACAAAGGAUUUUAUCCAUGUAACACCUGAUUAAUUUAUAUGCUGUUAAGUGAAUGAGCUAUUAUCUGUCCUUUUUUUUUCUUUCCCUCUGUCCUUGCCUUUUCCUCAUGGUGGUGGAUGAGUAUUAUCUAGAGUAUUGAUAAAUAGCAAAUGUGAUGUCUACAGUAAAUGGGUUAUUGCAAGGGGCAAUAUCCGUCUAUGGUAACAAUUGUCCUCCCUUGGAUGGAAUGGACCAAAAUUGAUUGAAUCUGACCAUUUGUUCAAUUCUUAUCUGCUAUGAAUGACUUCUUGCAAUAGGGCAAAGGAAUUGGCCAAGAUUAGCUUCGUCUUGAAAUGGCACUGCAAACGAUUGAACUAUUCUCUUUGAAUUGGUUGAUACUAUGAAUUACAGUGUAAAGUCAGCUUUUUAUAAAUCAUUAUAUUUGUGAGUACAUUGGUUAAAGCCCAAUGGUUCCAUUCAACCUAGCUGUUACGUUGGACUGUGGUCAGGUUAACUCUAGCUGGCUAGCAGGUGGAGUUGAUCUUGGGUCGAGCAAUAUGUUUCUUAAUUCUAACUUUCAUUUUAGUUUGAUUCAACCAGUUUAAUUUUUCUUUGAAGGAAUCUAUAGAUAUUGUUUGACCUCGCCAACUCAUUUGUGGAAGUCAAGCAACCUUGGCUCCAAUCUGGGAUGGCAACAUGAAUCAAGUUGCAAACAACUCUAAUCUUAUUCUACAGCUUAACCCUGACCUAAACUGUUGCAAAGGCUGCCCAUUUCAUAUAGAAUUGCAUUUGUAUGUCAAACAUGUACAUGUCUAGCUGUAACAAUGGAUGAACAAAUUUCCAAUGACUUGUUUCUGGAAUAUUUUUCACUGCAGAUAUAAUAUACUCUUUUUUCUUAUAGACGAUAUCUGUUUACAAGCUUAAUAAACCAUGUGGAUAGUUUACAUGUGGCCAGAAAUUUUCUGCUCUCCUAUUUUUCUCUAUCGAACACUAUCGAGUAAACCAACAAUAUUUGACUUGCCAUCGAGGUUGUCAAUCUUCAUUACUUUAUCAAGUGUUUGAGAGUGAGAUUGAUAUAAAAUUUGAAAAUCUAAACCGAAUGAUGUCUACAUCUCC
rnacentral:lncRNA from 1 species